CAGUGGGGAAUUUUGGACAAUGGGGGAAACCCUGAUCCAGCCAUGCCGCGUGAGUGAAGAAGGCCUUCGGGUUGUAAAGCUCUUUUGGUCGGGAAGAAAGGGUUUCCUUGAAUACGGGAGACUUUUGACGGUACCGGCAGAAUAAGCACCGGCUAACUACGUGCCAGCAGCCGCGGUAAUACGUAGGGUGCGAGCGUUAAUCGGAAUUACUGGGCGUAAAGAGUGCGUAGGCGGUUCGUUAUGUCUGCUGUGAAAGCCCCGGGCUUAACCCGGGAAUGGCAGUGGAAACUGGCGGGCUUGAGUGUGGCAGAGGGGGGUGGAAUUCCGCGUGUAGCAGUGAAAUGCGUAGAGAUGCGGAGGAACACCGAUGGCGAAGGCAGCCCCCUGGGCUAACACUGACGCUGAGGCACGAAAGCGUGGGGAGCAAACAGGAUUAGA
rnacentral:rRNA from 1 species